CACGUAGGGGACGAGCGUUGUCCGGAUUCAUUGGGCGUAAAGGGUGCGUAGGUGGUGGGGUAAGUCGGAUGUGAAAUCCCGGGGCUCAACCCCGGAACUGCAUUCGAUACUGCCUUGCUCGAGUACUGGAGAGGAGACUGGAAUUUACGGUGUAGCAGUGAAAUGCGUAGAUAUCGUAAGGAAGACCAGUGGCGAAGGCGAGUCUCUGGACAGUUACUGACACUGAGGCACGAAGGCCAGGGGAGCAAACGGG
rnacentral:rRNA from 1 species